rnacentral:tRNA from 1 species
CGGACAGAAGCCCGCUGGAUUGGGUGUUUAGCUGUUAAUUAAAUUUUUGCGGGAUCAAGGCCCGCCUGUCUAG